AUGGAGCAUAUGUUACCUCUUGAUGCUGAUCUUGUUCUGAACAUCCCGUUGAGUACAGUUCAUCUUAAGGAUACUUGGGUGUGGCAUUAUGAAAGAUCGGGCUGGUUUCUAGUUCGCUCUGAUUAUCAAUUGUUGGCUGCAACAAAGGAUCAAAGGGAAGCAUGGCUCGAGCACCGCCCUAGUUGUUCAGAUACUAAGAACUUCGGAAACAGUGUCCCGCAGAGGGAGAUGAUUCAAAUUCUUGUGACGCUUUGGGCGAUCUGGUGGGCUAGGAGGAAGGCAAUUCACGACCAAAUAUUUCAAAGCCCACAUUCCACGUUCUCCUUCACUCAGAAGAUUUUGCAGGAAUUGGAGAUGGUGGAAGCAGCUCCAAAAGAGUUGGCAAUUCCAGCCAAGCGACCGGAGAGAAAAUGGAUCGCUCCGGUCACUGGCUAUGUGAAGAUAAAUGUUGAUGGAGGCCUUUCGCGAUCAGAGUCACUGGAGGCCAUUGCUUGCAGCGAGGCUCUAUCAUUGGCUUUUGAUCUGAAUGGCGAGGUGCUUAUCGGGGUGGCCGCCGCCGGCGUCAAUCGCGGCGACACGGUCCAGUGGCAGGGCCGGUACCCGCCACCGGCCGGCGCCUCGCCCUACCCGGGGCUCGAGUGCUCCGGCACCAUCGUCGCUCUCGGGGCCGCGCUGGGCCGUCGGUACCAGGCGCCCAGCGUGUGCGCGCUGCUUACCAGCGGCGGGUAUGCGGAGAAGGUGGUGGUUCCGGCAGGGCAGCUGCUCCCGGUGACGGAGGGGGCGUCGCUGACUGACAGCCCGAGGUGGCCUCCACCGUCUGGUCCACCAUUUUCAUGCCAGUCACCUCUCCCUCGGUGA
rnacentral:rRNA from 1 species